GAUGAACGCUGGCGGCGUGCUUAACACAUGCAAGUCGAACGAGAAGUGAAGACGGAAACCUUCGGGCGGAAGGCUUUAUUUCGAGUGGCGGACGGGUGAGUAACGCGUGGGUAACCUGCCUCAUACAGGGGGAUAACAGUUGGAAACGACUGUUAAUACCGCAUAAGACCACAGCACCGCAUGGUGCGGGGGUAAAAACUCUGGUGGUAUGAGAUGGACCCGCGUUCGAUUAGCCAGUUGGCGGGGUAACGGCCCACCAAAGCGACGAUCGAUAGCCGAUCUGAGAGGAUGACCGGCCACAUUGGGACUGAGACACGGCCCAAACUCCUACGGGAGGCAGCAGUGGGGAAUAUUGCACAAUGGGGGAAACCCUGAUGCAGCGACGCCGCGUGAGUGAAGAAGUAUUUCGGUAUGUAAAGCUCUAUCAGCAGGGAAGAAAAUGACGGUACCUGAGGAAGAAGCCCCGGCUAACUACGUG
rnacentral:rRNA from 1 species